GACGAACGCUGGCGGCGUGCUUAACACAUGCAAGUCGAACGGAAAGGCCCCUUUGGGGGUACUCGAGUGGCGAACGGGUGAGUAACACGUGAGUAACCUGCCCUUGACUUCGGGAUAACUUCAGGAAACUGGGGCUAAUACCGGAUAGGAAUCCUUGCUGCAUGGUGGGGGUUGGAAAGCUUCGGCGGUUUUGGAUGGACUCGCGGCUUAUCAGCUUGUUGGUGGGGUAGUGGCUUACCAAGGCUUUGACGGGUAGCCGGCCUGAGAGGGCGACCGGCCACAUUGGGACUGAGAUACGGCCCAGACUCCUACGGGAGGCAGAAGUGGGGAAGAUUGCACAAUGGGCGGAAGCCUGAUGCAGCAACGCCGCGGGCGGGAGGACGGCCUUCGGGUUGUAAACCGCUUUCAGCAGGGGCGAAGCUUGUGGUGACGGUACCUGCAGAAGAAGCACCGGCUAACUACGUG
rnacentral:rRNA from 1 species